CCUACGGGUGGCAGCAGUGGGGAAUAUUGCACAAUGGGGGAAACCCUGAUGCAGCAACGCCGCGUGGGUGAAGGAGCGUUUCUGCGCGUAAAGCCCUGUUAGCGGGGAAGAAGAAUGACGGUACCCGACCACGAAGCCCCGGCUAACUACGUGCCAGCAGCCGCGGUAAUACGGAGGGGGCGAGCGUUGUCCGGAAUUACUGGGUGUAAAGGGAGCGUAGACGGGGAGGUAAGCCUGGAGUGGAAGGCCGCGGCCCAACCGCGGAACUGCUUGGGGAACUGUUUUGCUGGAGUAUGGGAGGGGUAAGCGGAAUUCUUGGUGUAGCGGUGAAAUGCGUAGAUAUCAGGAGGAACACCGGUGGCGAAGGCGGCUUACUGGACCAUAACUGACGUUGAGGCUCGAAAGCGUGGGGAGCGAACAGGAUUAGAUACCCGGGUAGUC
rnacentral:rRNA from 1 species